AGCGAACGCUGGCGGCAGGCUUAACACAUGCAAGUCGAGCGGGCACUUCGGUGUCAGCGGCAGACGGGUGAGUAACACGUGGGAACGUACCCUUUGGUUCGGAAUAAUGCUGGGAAACUAGCGCUAAUACCGGAUACGCCCUUUUGGGGAAAGGCUUGCUGCCGAAGGAUCGGCCCGCGUCUGAUUAGCUAGUUGGUGGGGUAAUGGCCUACCAAGGCGACGAUCAGUAGCUGGUCUGAGAGGAUGAUCAGCCACACUGGGACUGAGACACGGCCCAGACUCCUACGGGAGGCAGCAGUGGGGAAUAUUGGACAAUGGGCGCAAGCCUGAUCCAGCCAUGCCGCGUGAGUGAUGAAGGCCUUAGGGUUGUAAAGCUCUUUUGUCCGGGACGAUAAUGACGGUACCGGAAGAAUAAGCCCCGGCUAACUUCGUG
rnacentral:rRNA from 1 species